rnacentral:misc_RNA from 1 species
GAUGAAGAACGCAGCGAAAUGCGAUAAGUAAUGUGAAUUGCAGAAUUCAGUGAAUCAUCGAAUCUUUGAACGCACCUUGCGCCCUUUGGCUAUUCCGAAGGGCAUGCCUGUUUGAGUAUCAUGAACACCUCAACUCUUCACGGCUUGCCGUGAUGAGUUUGGACUUUGGGGGUCUUGCUGGCCUACGAGCCAGCUCCUCUCAAAUGUAUUAGCUUGCCGGUGUUUGGUGGCAUCACAGGUGUGAUAACUAUCUACGCUUGUGGUUUUCCACUAGGUAACCUUCAGCAAUGGAGGUUCACCGGAGCUCACAAAUGUCUCUCCUUGCCAAGGACAGAUUUUGACCAUUUGAUCUCAAAUCAGGUAGGACUACCCGCUGAACUUAAGCAUACAAUAAGCGGAGGA